GAAAUUAUUGAGGGGAAGGAUGCUAUGAGGGUGAUUAUGGAUGGAACAACAACCAGAUUUCAAAUGUCUUGGCUUCUGUCAGGAAAAACUGCUAUUGAGAGAGAACUUAGAGAACGGAAGAGCAC